GGUUUGAGCGGUGAACCGGGCGAGCCUGGUGAAAGUGGACAAAGAGGACCACUGGGGCCUAAAGGAGCCAAAGUAGGGCCCUGAUUCUGAUUCUGCCAUGAGACGGGUCGUCUGAGCGGUGUCUGUUCAGUGAUUUUGUUUGUUUGUAAAUUUCAGGGUGACGCGGGUGUUGGAAUAGUCGGUCCUCCGGGACAAUCUGGACCUGCAGGCUUAAAGGUAGUAAAUGUAUGAUGCUUCCACCGCAACACUCGUCUUCUCAAAGCGAUGGUGAAAAUCUGCUGCACACGCGACCAUCCACAGUUAAAUGCCAGUCUUGUCACGAGUCGCCUUAUUCCGAAAAUGCUAACAAGCACGAGGCACUCAGUUUUACGUGCCGAAACCUUGCUUUAAAAAAAAGAAGAAGAAGAAGUUGUCGCCGUUCAAUUAGUGGCACUUCAAUCACCUGCGUGUUCUUCCGACCUUUUAUUCCUUUCGGUGAAAAACCCAAUUUGCCGUCGGAUUCGCACACGUUAAACGACGCGGUCACGCACCGCGCACAGCCGACAACGCGCGAAUACGGUUACUGAGCACGCAGCGCCGUGCUAGUCAC
ensembl:lncRNA